rnacentral:rRNA from 1 species
AGAACGAACGCUGGCGGCAUGCCUAACACAUGCAAGUCGAACGUGAUCCAGGCUUCGGCCUGGUGAAAGUGGCAGACGGGUGAGUAACGCGUGGGAACCUGCCCUGUGGUAGGGAAUAACCGUGGGAAACUGCGGCUAAUACCCUAUGAGUCCUUCGGGAGAAAGAUUUAUCGCCAUAGGAGGGGCCCGCGUCGGAUUAGGUAGUUGGUGGGGUAACGGCCUACCAAGCCUUCGAUCCGUAGCUGGUCUGAGAGGAUGAUCAGCCACACUGGGACUGAGAUACGGCCCAGACUCCUACGGGAGGCAGCAGUGGGGAAUAUUGGACAAUGGGGGCAACCCUGAUCCAGCAAUGCCGCGUGGAUGAUGAAGGCCUUCGGGUUGUAAAGUCCGUUUCGGCGGGAAGAUGAUGACGGUACCGCAGAAGAAGCCCGGCUAACUUCGCGCCAGCAGCCGC